GGGGGUGGAUGGUGCCUGGUGGUGCUCCUGGUCUUCAAAACCAGUCGUUGGGCAGCGUUCCUGUCCAUGCUAGGUUCGAUUCCUAGACACUCCC
rnacentral:tRNA from 1 species